UCAUUCGUAAAACUACUGUGUUGGAUGUUGUGAGAAGGCUUCUACAAGUGAGCUGUUCGCCUUUUCCAUUUAUUUCUUGAAACUUGACUCGGAUGUUUUUCUAACAUAUGAUUGUAUACGCAGCCAAAGAUUGUCAUGGUGUCGUCUUAUGCUAGGAAACAAAGAAGCUAGUCAGGCAAAGUACAUAUCAAUCUUGAAUAUAAUUCAGGUGGUCUUAUGUUAGCAAGCCACACAAGUAUCAGACACCUAUUCAGCAAAUGUCUGAGCCAAUAUGAUAAAUUGAGGAAGAAGCAAGCUUUUCUUGACAAUUACCGAAAGUUUCCCAUGUUUGCUGACAAUGAUCUCUCAGAGUUUGAUGAAGCAAGAGACAUCAUUGAGAGUUUGGUAUAUGAAUAUAAGGCCUGUGAGUCUCCAGAUUACAUCAAAUGGGGAAGGGAGCUUUUAACUGGUGAAGGCAAUGCUUCAGGAGUUGUGGAUCCUAAGUUGGCGUUCUAAAUCCAGAGUAAAAUCAGAGAUGUUUCACUUUGUAACUGAGAUUUUUUCAGGCCAUCAUAGGUUCUUAAUUAAGAAUGGGUUAUGGUAGGAUACGUAGAAAACCAUAAAGAGUGUUGGCAUGUAAACCUUGAAUGGUACUUAAUGUAUUAUGAUGUGGUUGAGUUUCGGUUUAUGAAGAGAGACGGCUUGGUUUUUCUUACAGACUCCACCAAAAGCCCCAAAAACAUUACUUUGAUAAAGUGAAAGAUAAAAGCGGGAAAAA